GUCUCAGGCAGCAGCUUAACCCACUGUGCCACAACACAUACUAGUGACAAAAAAAUGGAAUCGAAACAGAAUGAAACACAAAUUUAGGAAGAAUCCUAGUGAGAAAGGUGCAAACCUUUCGUACAGAAUUGGAGUGACGUCACUGAGAAAUGGGCUGAGCCGGCAGAGGGAGGGAGACAUCCGUGUGUAGGUCAGGACUUGGAACGCAUGGUGCCCGCUGUCCCGGCCUGACCGACGCAGUCCGUGCGGUGCCGACUGUCUGAGGGGUUUGUUUUUUGUUUUGUGGGGGAAGGGGCAGAGCUUGACAAGCUUGUGUUUACGUGGAAAUGCAGAGGGCAAAAUAACCAAGUCCAUCUUGAGGAAGACCCUGCCACGAAGCCGCGGUGGUGGACAGCAUGGCAAAGCUCUGUCCAGUGGGGCAGAGAGCCAGAGAGUGACCACAUGGACAUGGGCAGGGGACAGGUCGGUCACGGAGCAGUGGGGAGAGGAUGGGCCGCAUGGCCUACAGUGCUGGGACAAGGCGCCGAGCCAGUUCUCCGUGCUUGGGAGAGCCAGCAAAGAAAACAACGCAGGAGCCGGUCGCCAUGUCCGUGGGGUGGGGCGAGGACUGCCACCACGUAGGAAGACAGACCCCGCGUGCCCGCCACCGAGAACUUCCCCGAGAGGCACUGGGGGAACAAGACAACAAAUGAAUGUGCUCUUUAAGGUACUUCAAGGGUAACAAUGCCCACCACAGCCAGGCUGGGCCAAGGUGAAGUCAGGAGAGCAGAGCUGCACCCGGGAGGCCCGUGAACGGCCGAGACUCGAGUUCCCGAGCCAGCAAGUGCGCGGCAGCGGAAAGUGGAGCCGGGACUUCAGCCCAGGCCCUCAGCGCGGGCCGCGGGGGCCCCUCCCAGCCCCUCGGCCUUCCCGCAAGUCACCCUACAACAUCCGCCCCUUCUGACGGUGACUACGUGGUCGCACGGGGACCACGCUUCCGGAACAUGGGCUCUGAGGGGCCACGCCGCGCGCAAACCACAGCAACGGCUUCGCCUUCGCAUCGGGGCUUUCUCAGACGAAGGCCAAGAAGAGCAGAGGUCGCGCCCGUCUCCGCGGGGCGGCGGCGCUGCGGACCCCGCUUCGGGAGGCCCACGCUGCAGGCGCGGGGCCAGCUCCAGGGGCCGGUUUGAGGCACGCAUUCCAGCGUUCCCCUCGGCGCCCUGUCCGAUUCCGAGGCCGGCGGCUGCAAGAGGACUUCAGGUCUGAGGUCAGUGUCCUGGGCGAGGCGCUUGCUCGUGGUUAAGGCACGACAGUGAGGCAGCCCACUGCCAGCCCACUGCCAGCCCACUGCCAGCCCAGCCCUGCCACUUCCUUCCCCUGUUCCCACUGCCCGCCGGCUCCCUCUCACCUCACCCUCCAGCUCUGGGCACCGCCAGGGCCCGCGUCAGCUUCUGCAGCUUUGACCUCUGACUCCCCCCCUCUCUCCGCAGCCACGAUGUGGGCACCCUCGGGUUUCUGUUUCCCUUCUUUCCCCAGACUCACCUAGCGUCCCCUCCCACGUUAACUAACGGCAAUCACACUUAGCGGGAGUGUGUCACCCGUGGUCGUGGGGACCGCAUCGCCCCAGAAUGUAAUACAGAGCGCAUGUCCCCGGUGCCAUCAGCGGCACUACACACUUCAGCAUCCCCGGAGGUCGGUUCCAGGACCCCGAUACCAACACCCACGGAUGCUCAGGCCUCGCC
ensembl:lncRNA